rnacentral:lncRNA from 1 species
AACAUUUUGAUUGAACUACCCAUUUUAUCCUUAUAUAUAAACUAAAAUAUAAUAUUUUUUUUUAUAAAAAGUAUUCCGGUAUUCCUUAAAAUAAUGGUAUAAUAAAAUUUAAGAAAACAAACCAUAAACAUUAAUUAUGUUUUUCGGUGUACACUUACCGUCAAAAAAAGUUUUCAGGUGUACACUUGUGUCAAAAAUGAGAAUUGUUUGAUUUUGCUGGAGCCUGCUGUCGGUGUUGUUCGGGAUGGAAGGCGAUUGUGUUGGUGUCUAUUAAUCUCAGUUUUUUUCCUUUUGCGUCUGCAAAAAAACACUUGUGAAAAUUUUCAUGUUUGGUUGCAUUCUCCAUAAUCCAUUCUUCCAUUAACCCAAUUUCUCCAAUAACCCCAAUUUCUUCUUUCACAUUCUCUCUCCAAUAACCUCAAUUUCUUCUUCCAUUAUGAUGUUGGGUGACAAACAUUGAAAGGUUAGCUUAAGCAAAUUGAAGGCUAAUCAAAAGCAAAUAACAACACCAGACCUCCCAAACCAGGAAAAAACAAAGAACAAGAAAAAAACCAAGACUAGAACACAAACACAAGAAGCAUGAAAAUCCAUUGUUUGAAAAUGGUUUCAAAUUCAUUGAGUUCUCAAACUUUUU